GCAGCCGCGGUAAUACGGGGGAUGCAAGCGUUAUCCGGAUUUAUUGGGUUUAAAGGGUGCGUAGGCGGCUUGGUAAGUCAGCGGUGAAAUUUAGGGGCUCAACCUCUACCGUGCCGUUGAUACUGCUGGGCUAGAAUGCGGAUGCCGUGGGAGGAAUGUGUGGUGUAGCGGUGAAAUGCAUAGAUAUCACACAGAACACCGAUUGCGAAGGCAUCUCACGAAUCCGCUAUUGACGCUGAGGCACGAAAGCGUGGGGAUCAAACAGGAUUAGAUACCCC
rnacentral:rRNA from 1 species